AUUGAACGCUGGCGGCAGGCUUAACACAUGCAAGUCGAGCGGGGGAAGGUAGCUUGCUACUGGACCUAGCGGCGGACGGGUGAGUAAUGCUUAGGAAUCUGCCUAUUAGUGGGGGACAACAUCUCGAAAGGGAUGCUAAUACCGCAUACGUCCUACGGGAGAAAGCAGGGGAUCUUCGGACCUUGCGCUAAUAGAUGAGCCUAAGUCGGAUUAGCUAGUUGGUGAGGUAAUGGCUCACCAAGGCGACGAUCCCUAGCUGGUCUGAGAGGAUGAUCAGCCACACUGGAACUGAGACACGGUCCAGACUCCCACGGGAGGCAGCAGUGGGGAAUAUUGGACAAUGGGCGGAAGCCUGAUCCAGCCAUGCCGCGUGUGUGAAGAAGGCCUUUUGGUUGUAAAGCACUUUAAGCGAGGAGGAGGCUACUUAGAUUAAUACUCUGGGAUAGUGGACGCUACUCGCAGAAUAAGCACCGGCUAACUCUGUGCCAGCAGCCGCGGUAA
rnacentral:rRNA from 1 species